AUUGAACGCUGGCGGCAGGCCUAACACAUGCAAGUCGAGCGCGCGGCGGACGGGUGAGUAAUGUAUGGGGACUGCCCGAUAGAGGGGGAUAACUACUGGAAACGGUGGCUAAUACCGCAUACUGUCGGAUAACCCAUAUGGGAUUGGCUAGUAGGUAAGGUAAUGGCUUACCUAGGCGACGCGCCCUCGCUGGUCUGAGAGGAUGAUCCGCAAAUCGGGGACUGAGACAAGGCCCGGACUCCUACGGAGGAACCAGUGGGAAAUAUGGAACAAUGGGCGCAAGCCUGAUGCAGCCAGGCCGCGGUUAUGAAGAAGGCCCUAGGGUUGUAAAGUACUUUCAGUCGGGAGGCGUUACCGACAGAGGAAGCACCGGCUAACUCCUUGCAAGCAGCCGCGGUAAUUC
rnacentral:rRNA from 1 species